AAGGAGUAGAAAUACAUAAUCUAAGCACUAAUGCCUAACGCAAGGCUAAAACUUAAAGAACAUGGCGGCGAGAAUAAAAUUUAGGGGAACUUACCAGGUAAUUGACAACCCCCAAAAGAAAUCACCUUUAUUUAAAGUUUGUAUACCGCCGUCUAGGGCCCUCUCGAGAAGGACCCGAAAAGAAUAAAAAUUCUAUAAGACAGGUCAUGGUGCAGCCCAUAUAAAGGUCAGUAAGGUGAGUUACAAUAAAUAGUUUUUUCGGAGUAAAGAUGUAACAGCAAAAACAAAGAUGGACUUAACAGUAAUUAUUAGAGAAAUAUAUUUUGAAGAAAAAAAUUCUCGUGC
rnacentral:rRNA from 1 species